rnacentral:rRNA from 1 species
CACGGAGGGGGCUAGCGUUGUUCGGAAUUACUGGGCGUAAAGCGCGCGUAGGCGGACCUGCAAGUCGGGGGUGAAAGUCCGAGGCUCAACCUCGGAAUGUCGGCGGAAACCCUCUGGCUAGAGUCCGGAAGAGGAGAGUGGAAUUCCCGGUGUAGCGGUGAAAUGCGCAGAUAUCAGGAAGAACACCCGUGGCGAAAGCGGCUCUCUGGAACGGUACUGACGCUGAGACGCGAAAGCGUGGGGAGCGAACAGG